rnacentral:rRNA from 1 species
GACGAACGCUGGCGGCGUGCUUAACACAUGCAAGUCGAACGGAAAGGCCCUGCUUUUGUGGGGUGCUCGAGUGGCGAACGGGUGAGUAACACGUGAGUAACCUGCCCUUGACUUUGGGAUAACUUCAGGAAACUGGGGCUAAUACCGGAUAGGAGCUCCUGCUGCAUGGUGGGGGUUGGAAAGUUUCGGCGGUUGGUGAUGGACUCGCGGCUUAUCAGCUUGUUGGUGGGGUAGUGGCUUACCAAGGCUUUGACGGGUAGCCGGCCUGAGAGGGUGACCGGCCACAUUGGGACUGAGAUACGGCCCAGACUCCUACGGGAGGCAGCAGUGGGGAAUAGUGCACAAUGGGCGGAAGCCUGAUGCAGCAACGCCGCGUGCGGGAUGACGGCCUUCGGGUUGUAAACCGCUUUCGCCUGUGACGAAGCGUGAGUGACGGUAAUGGGUAAAGAAGCACCGGCUAACUACGUG